rnacentral:rRNA from 1 species
GACGAACGCUGGCGGCGUGCCUAACACAUGCAAGUCGAACGGAGAUACGAUUUCGGUUGUAUCUUAGUGGCGAACGGGUGAGUAACGCGUGAGCAACCUGACUCUUAGAGGGGGAUAACACUGGGAAACGAGUGCUAAUACCGCAUAAGACCACGACAUGGCAUCAUGACGAGGUCAAAGGAGCAAUCCGGUGAAAGAUGGGCUCACGUCCGAUUAGAGAGUUGGUGGGGUAACGGCCUACCAAGUCAACGAUCGGUAGCCGACCUGAGAGGGUGAUCGGCCACACUGGAACUGAGAGACGGUCCAGACUCCUACGGGAGGCAGCAGUGGGGAAUAUUGGGCAAUGGGGGAAACCCUGACCCAGCAACGCCGCGUGAGGGAAGAAGGUUUUCGGAUUGUAAACCUCUGUCCUUGGUGAAGAGAGGAAGACGGUAGCCAAGGAGGAAGCCCCGGCUAACUACGUGCCAGCAGCAGCCGCGG